AUUGAACGCUGGCGGCAUGGCUAAAACAUGCAAGUCGAACGCACCAGCAAUGGUGAGUGGCGAAAGGGUCAGUAACGCGAUCGAACGUACCCCGAGGUGGGGGAUAGGCACGGGAAACUGUGCGUAAUACCCCAUGUGAUCUACGGAUCAAAGAUUUUUCGCCUUGGGAGCGGCGAUCGUCCUAUCAGGUAGUUGGCGGGGUAACGGCCCACCAAGCCUAAGACGGGUAGCGGGUGUGAGAGCACGGCCCGCGACAUCGGGACUGAGACACUGCCCGGACUCCUACGGGAGGCUGCAGUAACGAAUCUUCCGCAAUGGGCGAAAGCCUGACGGAGCAAUGCCGCGUGCGGGAUGAAGCGCCUUUU
rnacentral:rRNA from 1 species